rnacentral:rRNA from 1 species
CCUACGGGAGGCUGCAGUGGGGAAUAUUGGACAAUGGGGGCAACCCUGAUCCAGCCAUGCCGCGUGUGUGAAGAAGGCCCUCGGGUUGUAAAGCACUUUCAGUGAGGAAGAACGCCUGGUGGUUAAUACCCAUCAGGAAAGACAUCACUCACAGAAGAAGCACCGGCUAACUCCGUGCCAGCAGCCGCGGUAAUACGGAGGGUGCGAGCGUUAAUCGGAAUUACUGGGCGUAAAGCGCGCGUAGGUGGCUUGAUAAGCCGGUUGUGAAAGCCCCGGGCUCAACCUGGGAACGGCAUCCGGAACUGUCAAGCUAGAGUGCAGGAGAGGAAGGUAGAAUUCCCGGUGUAGCGGUGAAAUGCGUAGAGAUCGGGAGGAAUACCAGUGGCGAAGGCGACCUUCUGGACUGACACUGACACUGAGGUGCGAAAGCGUGGGUAGCAAACAGGAUUAGAUACCCGUGUAGUC